rnacentral:rRNA from 1 species
GAGUUUGAUCCUGGCUCAGAUUGAACGCUGGCGGCAGGCUUAACACAUGCAAGUCGAGCGGAGAUGAGGUGCUUGCACCUUAUCUUAGCGGCGGACGGGUGAGUAAUGCUUAGGAAUCUGCCUAUUAGUGGGGGACAACAUUCCGAAAGGAAUGCUAAUACCGCAUACGUCCUACGGGAGAAAGCAGGGGAUCUUCGGACCUUGCGCUAAUAGAUGAGCCUAAGUCGGAUUAGCUAGUUGGUGGGGUAAAGGCCUACCAAGGCGACGAUCUGUAGCGGGUCUGAGAGGAUGAUCCGCCACACUGGGACUGAGACACGGCCCAGACUCCUACGGGAGGCAGCAGUGGGGAAUAUUGGACAAUGGGGGGAACCCUGAUCCAGCCAUGCCGCGUGUGUGAAGAAGGCCUUAUGGUUGUAAAGCACUUUAAGCGAGGAGGAGGCUACUGAGACUAAUACUCUUGGAUAGUGGACGUUACUCGCAGAAUAAGCACCGGCUAACUCUGUGCCAGCAGCCGCGGUAAUACAGAGGGUGCGAGCGUUAAUCGGAUUUACUGGGCGUAAAGCGUGCGUAGGCGGCUUUUUAAGUCGGAUGUGAAAUCCCCGAGCUUAACUUGGGAAUUGCAUUCGAUACUGGGAAGCUAGAGUAUGGGAGAGGAUGGUAGAAUUCCAGGUGUAGCGGUGAAAUGCGUAGAGAUCUGGAGGAAUACCGAUGGCGAAGGCAGCCAUCUGGCCUAAUACUGACGCUGAGGUACGAAAGCAUGGGGAGCAAACAGGAUUAGAUACCCUGGUAGUCCAUGCCGUAAACGAUGUCUACUAGCCGUUGGGGCCUUUGAGGCUUUAGUGGCGCAGCUAACGCGAUAAGUAGACCGCCUGGGGAGUACGGUCGCAAGACUAAAACUCAAAUGAAUUGACGGGGGCCCGCACAAGCGGUGGAGCAUGUGGUUUAAUUCGAUGCAACGCGAAGAACCUUACCUGGCCUUGACAUACUAGAAACUUUCCAGAGAUGGAUUGGUGCCUUCGGGAAUCUAGAUACAGGUGCUGCAUGGCUGUCGUCAGCUCGUGUCGUGAGAUGUUGGGUUAAGUCCCGCAACGAGCGCAACCCUUUUCCUUACUUGCCAGCAUUUCGGAUGGGAACUUUAAGGAUACUGCCAGUGACAAACUGGAGGAAGGCGGGGACGACGUCAAGUCAUCAUGGCCCUUACGGCCAGGGCUACACACGUGCUACAAUGGUCGGUACAAAGGGUUGCUACACAGCGAUGUGAUGCUA